rnacentral:rRNA from 1 species
UACAGAGGGUGCUAGCGUUGUUCGGAAUCACUGGGCGUAAAGGGCGCGUAGGCGGCUUUUCAAGCGUGCGGUGAAAGCUCGGGGCUUAACUCCGAGUCUGCCGUGCGAACUGGGAGGCUUGAGUCUGGUAGAGGUCGAUGGAAUUCCGGGUGUAGCGGUGGAAUGCGUAGAGAUCCGGAAGAACACCGGUGGCGAAGGCGGUCGACUGGGCCAGUACUGACGCUGAGGCGCGACAGCGUGGGGAGCAAACAGG